rnacentral:rRNA from 1 species
UACGUAGGGUCCGAGCGUUAUUCGGAAUUACUGGGCGUAAAGCGUGCGCAGGCGGUUUUGCAAGUCAGAUGUGAAAUCCCCGGGCUCAACCUGGGAACUGCAUUUGGGACUGCAAGGCUGGAGUACGGCAGAGGGAGGUGGAAUUCCACGUGUAGCAGUGAAAUGCGUAGAGAUGUGGAGGAACACCGAUGGCGAAGGCAGCCUCCUGGGCUAGUACUGACGCUCAUGCACGAAAGCGUGGGGAGCAAACAGG